rnacentral:rRNA from 1 species
ACACUCCUGCGGGAGGCAGCAGUGGGGAAUAUUGCACAAUGGGCGCAAGCCUGAUGCAGCCAUGCCGCGUGUAUGAAGAAGGCCUUCGGGUUGUAAAGUACUUUCAGCGGGGAGGAAGGCAAUACGGUUAAUAACCGUGUUGAUUGACGUUACCCGCAGAAGAAGCACCGGCUAACUCCGUGCCAGCAGCCGCGGUAAUACGGAGGGUGCAAGCGUUAAUCGGAAUUACUGGGCGUAAAGCGCACGCAGGCGGUCUGUCAAGUCGGAUGUGAAAUCCCCGGGCUCAACCUGGGAACUGCAUUCGAAACUGGCAGGCUUGAGUCUUGUAGAGGGGGGUAGAAUUCCAGGUGUAGCGGUGAAAUGCGUAGAGAUCUGGAGGAAUACCGGUGGCGAAGGCGGCCCCCUGGACAAAGACUGACGCUCAGGUGCGAAAGCGUGGGGAGCAAACAGGAUUAGAUACCCCUGUAGUCCCAUGA